CCGAGUAUUUACAACUCCCAAACCCCUGUGAACAUACCAAUUGUUUGCCUACGGCGGAUCAGCCCGCUCCCGGUAAAACGGGACGGCCCGCCAGAGGACCCCUAAACUCUGUUUCUAUAUGUAACUUCUGAGUAAAACCAUAAAUAAAUCA
rnacentral:misc_RNA from 1 species